rnacentral:rRNA from 1 species
AGAGUUUGAUCAUGGCUCAGAGCGAACGCUGGCGGCAGGCCUAACACAUGCAAGUCGAGCGCCCCGCAAGGGGAGCGGCAGACGGGAGAGUAACACGUGGGAACGUACCCUUUGGUUCGGAACAACCCAGGGAAACUUGGGCUAAUACCGGAUAAGCCCUUACGGGGAAAGAUUCAUCGCCGAAGGAUCGGCCCGCGUCUGAUUAGCUAGUUGGUGGGGUAACGGCCCACCAAGGCGACGAUCAGUAGCUGGUCUGAGAGGAUGAUCAGCCUCACUGGGACUGAGACACGGCCCAGACUCCUACGGGAGGCAGCAGUGGGGAAUAUUGGACAAUGGGCGCAAGCCUGAUCCAGCCAUGCCGCGUGGGUGAUGAAGGCCCUAGGGUUGUAAAGCCCUUUCGGCGGGGAAGAUAAUGACGGUACCCCGCAGAAGAAGCCCCCGGCUAACUUCGUGCCAGCAGCCGCGGUA